rnacentral:tRNA from 1 species
GCCUCGGUGGUGUAAUGGUAACCACGGCAACCCGGAUAUCUUUAAGUGCGGGUCCGACUCCCGCCUGAGGUU